ensembl:lncRNA
CAUUGUUCUGCAUGCCCCAGGCCAGAGCUGGCUGCACAACGCCGACAUCUGCGCUCGCUCUGUGCGUUCCUCAUACCACGGGGGGAUGGAAACAUCUGGGGGAAGGAUGGAGCGAGCCCUGCAGAAGGAGGAAGGUGAUGUGGAACAGAUGCCGGGAGCCGGCAGAGCCUUUGGAAGGGCUGCGUGCGUGCACGCAUGUGUGCAAGAGCUUCGUGGCUUCUGCUGGGAGAAGGGAGCUGCCCCGCUGCCUGCCACCCAGGGAGCGAGCCGCCCCACUGCGACAGGAGCUGGGCUGCCGUGCCAGGAGGUCACACGUUUCUCAAAGCUGCCGGAAGGCGGACAGCUUUGCAGCCAAGCAGAUGCUGCGUGCGCGGUGCUCACCCGCCCCGGGGAGCUGCGGGAGGGCCCCUCGCAGCCACGCAACCGGCACAGCGCGUGCUUUGGGACACCAAACAGCAAAGCCACAGAGCCUCAGCGUGUUGGGGUUGUGCGUUCAGAGGGAACCUGCACCCUCUGGACUCACCAAACGGCAGCCAAACCCGCGAGCCGAGCGCGGCAGCCCGCCAGCCCCUUGGAUUUGCUCUGUUACAAAUUACACACAGCCCGGGCAGGCAGGGCCUCUGCUCUUUGAAAACCUAUCCCUCGGUGUUUAUUAUAGAAACCAGUUGCCCUAUCUGUUGACAGCCAAAUUGCAAAAGGCCCCGCUGGAACCGCCGCCCCCCGUGCUCCCCUUCUGCCUGGGAUGCCUUUAUCUCAAUGGGCUUUGAGGUGCUGUGCUCGGGGACAGGGCUGCACAGCCACCCCCCGGUGCCACCAAGCACUCUCAGCGUGGAGAAAGCUCACCUGAAUGAUUGCAGUGCCACAAAGAGGACAGAAGGUAAUAAUUAAAUCAGAGAGGCGAUGCGAGGUCCUUUCAUACCCCAGCACGUUUUUCUGUGCCUCCAGGAGCUCCCAUAGGAGGUGGAGGGUUCUGAACUGAGGGUUAUCUCAGGAAAGGUUUCCUUAAAGCACAGCACUGAGCUGCAUGGGUUUGCUGGAGGGAAUGCAGUGUGCCAUGCACUGCAGUGUGCCAUGCAUUACCAUGCGCCAUGCAUUGCUGUGUGCCAUGCACUGCUGUGUGCCAUGCAUUACCAUGUGCCAUGCAUUGCUGUGUGCCAUGCACUGCCGUGUGCCAUGCACUGCCGUGUGCCAUGCAUUACCAUGUGCCAUGCAUUGCUGUGUGCCAUGCAUUGCCAUGUGCCAUGCAUUGCCGUGCACCGGAGCAAGCCAUGAACCCUGCUUAUCGCUGUGCUGGGCGAGCGGGUCUGUUCCCAGCUCCUGCAGGUGAGUCACUUCCCCUCUAUCUCCUGCAUUUCCCAUGGGUAAAAACGGGCUUGAUAAGCACAGGUGUGUUUGAGGGAUUUAACCCCAGCGUGGCUGCACAGUGCCCUGGGGGCCGGGCUGGGUUCCUCCUCUCUUUUGUCUUCCAGGAUUUCCCUAAGGGGCACAGAACCAGAAUGGCACUGCUGGCUGCGCGGGGCUGCAGUUUGCUUCCUUGCAGCACAAAGAGCAGAGCAGAGAGCCCCCCAGCAUCCCCAGCACUGCACCCCAUGGGAUACCAGCACACCGCAUCCCCCCCACACCCCCUGCACUGCACUGCCCACCCAGGGACCCUCAGCAAGGGGGGGGGUUGCAGCCUGGGCCGGGCACCAGCAUUUCUUCCCUCUUUUUUUUAUUCCACUUUACUUUAUUAUUUUAUUUUUUUGGAGGCUUCGCCGGUGUCUGCCUGCUGACUGAAGCUGUCAUUAUCAGCUCAAUAAAUCUCUGGCGCGGGUUUUAUUGAAUCGCUGCCUGAGGGGGAACAAGCCUGUAAAGGUUGAGGAGAGCAGAGCUUUCCCACGCCUGAGACACGCUGCCGGAGCUCUUGCACACAUUCCGGGCCUGCCAGCACUCCGCAAAUGUUUGGACAGCCUUGAACAAAUAACACACCUUUAAAGAGGCCAGCAUGAAAUUCUUCCUCACCCCUCGGCCGCCCUCCCGCUGCCUCGUGCCCCCCCCCCAGCACCCCGCAGUGCUCCAUGUGUGUGUGCGCGCGGGGUUUAUUUUAGGCUCGUGGCCGUGCUCCAGUUUCGGGGAGGAGGAUGGAGGAUGGGGAUGGGAGGAGGUCUGGCUUUUCCUCCCACAGGUAGGAAUCGGCUCCAGGCUGUGAUUUGGGGGAUGCCAAUGCUUUUUUUAUCUGUAUUCUCUCUGUUGCAUCUCAUGCUCUGCUCCGUGCCCCGUGGCACAGCGCAGGGGAUGGAGCCAGGAUUCGCCCCAGCGUGGCGGUGGGGCCGAGGGGAGCCUCAGCAAGGAUUAAUGGAGCAGCCAGCUGCCUGCCUGCUGAGUUCUGGGAAUGUCAAACACUGCAGCCAUCUCAACAGCUCCUAAAAUUCCCCCUGACUCGUUUCCUGUUGCUGCUUUCCCGAUGCUGAAAGGCUCGGGCUCCCGUGGAUUAAAAAAAAAAUAAAAAAAAAAUAAGAGAAUUGGAGGGGUUCCAGAAUUUAGGUUUCUGCCUCCUCCAUCUUCCCUGUCAACGCGUCGUUAAAUAAGAAGCAGGAACGCUGUAUUCGCCGUGCGCUCCUCACCAAAGGGCUGAGCGAAAAUCCUGCUGGAUGCAGCAGGUGACAGUCGGGUUCCCUGCUCCCAGGGUCUGUCCCCGUGUGCCAUACCCGAGCAGAGGGCGGGAGGAGCUGCACAGACCAUGACUUGGCUCCCUUUGGGGAAGCAGAGGCACACCUGAGGCGGGGAUGCUGCAAGGGGCAGGCAGCAAGCUGCUGCACGCACCCACUGACAACCAACCGCACCUCGGGCGAGGUCAACAGUGAACGUAGGAUGGGAAGAGCGAAGGUUGAGCAGCACGGCGCAGGGCUGGGUGCAAGGUCCAUUGCCAGCAUGCUCAUAAAGUGUGGAUAAGGGAGUGGUUUCCAGCUGAGAAAACCUCUCACGUUGGUUUAGAGGCCACCCAGGUGUCCCCAGGUUGGAGGGGGCCAUGUGUCACCCGAGGCACGCAGCAAGGAGGAGGCUCUGCUGUGCUUUGGUUCUGCAUUGGAAAGGCUUUGCAGACGCAUUGCUGGGAUGGGGUGGGUGGUCAGUGCUUCCUUCCUCGUGACCACACCCGCACGGAUUUGAGUCACUGUGGGAUGAUGCCAAGCAGAGGUUGGGCUGUGCUCUUCUCUCCCAAAAGCCCUUGGGGGGGUUGGGUGCAUCCCAGGAACCACAGCAGGGUUUGGAGCGUCCCACCACUUGCUGUGGCUUGGCUGGUUUGGCCAAGGUCUCAGCCCGGCUUGCUGGUGCAGCUGCCCCCUAAAAAAAGCACGGGAACCACCAGUUUGCAGCAGGAGGCAGAUCAAACCUCCUGUUUGCUUUCAAGCCUUCAAUUGUCCGUUAGCAAAGUGCACACCACAGAAUGGGUGGCCCCUUUCCUGGAGAAGCUGUGAAAACCUGCUCGGUUCCUGUGCUAGGAAAGCAAACAAACAAACACGACCCGGCGCUGGGUUUCAGCACACCAGAGCAUCUGGAAGCAAACCCCGAGCCCCUGCCUUGUUGAUAAGAGCCAGCUCCAUUGCCCACCGAUGGGAGAACCUGGGGAUGUAAUUAGAGAUGCGAAGCGCUCGAAACAAAGGGCGAAAAGCAAUCAGCGAAAGAACGGCGGCUUGAGCAGAUGAAUACACCACAAAAGCACCUUACAAACACAGGAUUUAAAACAGAUCAUCUUCUGAUCCUGGGCUAUUUGUCACAGCAAUGAAGGCUGUGGGCAUGCUUUCAUUUUCACUUCAACAGAAAGCUAAUUUUGCUGCUGAGAUCACUCACUUCCAGGAGCCACAACCUGGUGCAAACCCCCACUCUGUGCUGCAAAAUGCACUGCUGAACCAACAGGGCAGUAGCUGCUUCCCCUGGAAACCCAGGAAGAGGAAAGAAGGAAGCCAGCAGCUUUGAAAGAGCUUACUGAAGUGCUCUCAUUUAUUCUUACUCCCAAGCCUUUGCAUGCCAGCUUCCUUGCAAAACACUUCUAUAAAAAAAUAUCAAGAAGGAAAUUAGAUUUAAAAUAGAAAAAAAAAAAAAAAGAAAAAGAAAAAAAAAAGAGAAAAAGAACCCCAACCCUUUCAUACCACUGCAUAAAUCAUCUUGUUCUGAACCAAAGCAAUAAGAUGCAGCUCUGGCCUUGGUUUCAUUAAGUGACAGGGUGGCUUUCUUCGGGGUGGAACAAAACAGCAGUUUCUGCUCAGGAGCCCACAGAAUCUGCCCCCAGGGUGGAAUUUGCACUUGAGAGGCUGAUGGUGUCUGGGGCUCAUGCUGCCCUCGGGCUCCAGGGCUUUCACCCCAGGCUGUGUCCCCGUGUCCCCACGUGCCUUGGCACGUUGCUCAAUUGCACUCCUGCGUCUCCCAUUGCAGCAGAACUGGUGAGCUCCAGCCCUGGGGCUGCUCCCACACCCCACAGAUGGGGAUCUGGGACAUUCUGGGUUCUCCAUCCCUAUUUCAGCCCGCUGGCUGCAGCUGCUUUCCCUCAAUAAGGACAUGGCUUUGUAGGGCAGCCACUGGAACCGAACCCACGCCGAGCACCCCCAGCUCUCCCAUGAAGCCAUAACACCCAUUGGGCUCCAGCUGAAGGUUGCUGAUGUUGGUUCACAACACACCCACGGGCAUCCUCAAACCCCAGCACUGCCCACACCCCACCAACACA